GGGGUGGGAUUCUGGGCGAUUUUAGGCCAUUGGAUGGGGAUCCCAGGGUCAAAAUUUGCAUUGGGGGUAGGAUUUCAGGAUCUGGAGUGUUUCUUUUAUAACACACAAACUUUAUAUAUCAUGGCAUAAUGUCCAUACAAAUAGUUUUCCGGAUGCAUUCCGGAGACACACCACGCCAAACAUGACAUUCUAGCUGAUUACAUGAUCUAGUCAACAAAUGUGCAACAACAUUUUGUUCCUACGCACAUGAAAUAUAGAACAACUCGUGAAGGAAGCUCUAAGUUGCUUGAUAUCCUGAAUCACA
rnacentral:lncRNA from 1 species